GAUGAACGCUGACAGAAUGCUUAACACAUGCAAGUCGAUUCAAGUUACCUUCGGGUAAUGAGGAUGGCGGACGGGUGAGUAACGCGCAAGGAACUUGCCUCUUGGUCUGGGACAACUGUUGGAAACGACAGCUAAUACCGGAUAUUAUGAGAUUCUCGCAUGGGAAACUUAUGAAAGCUAUAUGCGCCAAGAGAGAGCCUUGCGUUCCAUUAGCUAGUUGGUGGGGUAACGGCCCACCAAGGCGACGAUGGAUAGCCGGCCUGAGAGGGUGAACGGCCACAAGGGGACUGAGACACGGCCCUUACUCCUACGGGAGGCAGCAGUGGGGAAUAUUGGACAAUGGGCCACAAGCCUGAUCCAGCAAUUCUGUGUGCACGAUGAAGGUCUUCGGAUUGUAAAGUGCUUUCAGUUGGGAAGAAGAAAGUGACGGUACCAACAGAAGAAGCGACGGCUAAAUACGUGCCAGCAGCCGCGGUAAUACGUAUGUCGCAAGCGUUAUCCGGAUUUAUUGGGCGUAAAGCGCGUCUAGGCGGAAAAAUAAGUCUGAUGUUAAAAUGCGGGGCUCAACUCCGUAUUGCGUUGGAAACUGUUUUUCUAGAGUACUGGAGAGGUGGGCGGAACUACAAGUGUAGAGGUGAAAUUCGUAGAUAUUUGUAGGAAUGCCGAUGGAGAAGUCAGCUCACUGGACAGANNCUGACGCUGAAGCGCGAAAGCGUGGGGAGCAAACAGGAUUAGAUACCCUGGUAGUCCACGCCNUA
rnacentral:rRNA from 1 species